rnacentral:rRNA from 1 species
UACGUGCCAGCAGCCGCGGUAAGACGUAGGACGCAAGCGUUAUCCGGAUUUACUGGGCGUAAAGCGCCUGUAGGCGGUCAAGUAAGUCGGAUGUGAAAGCCCCGUGCUCAACGCGGGGAAGCCAUUCGAUACUGCGUGACUAGAGAACGGCAGAGGGAAACGGAAUUUCUGGUGUAGCGGUAAAAUGCGCAGAGAUCAGAAAGAACACCGAUGGCGAAGGCAGUUUCCUAGGCCGCAUCUGACGCUGAGAGGCGAAAGCUAGGGGAGCAAACAGGAUUAGAGACCCUGGUAGUCCUAGCUGUAAACGAUGGAUGCUAGGUGUGGGCCGGAAAGGUCCGUGCCGUAGUUAACGCGAUAAGCAUCCCGCCUGGGGAGUACGGCCGCAAGGCUAAAACUCAAACGAAUUGACGGGGACCCGCACAAGCAGCGGAGCGUGUGGUUUAAUUCGAUGCUACACGCAGAACCUUACCUGGGCUUGACAUGUAGGUGGUAGUGAAGUGAAAGCGGAGCGACCCUUCGGGGAGCCUACACAGGUGCUGCAUGGCUGUCGUCAGCUCGUGCCGUGAGGUGUCGGGUUAAGUCCCGUAACGAGCGCAACCCUUGUCCUUAGUUACAAGUGUCUAAGGAGACUGCCGGUGACAAACCGGAGGAAGGUGGGGAUGACGUCAAGUCAGCAUGGCCCUUAUGUCCAGGGCGACACACACGCUACAAUGGUCGGUACAAUGGGCAGCGCAGCCGCGAGGUGAAGCGAAUCCCAACAAAGCCGAUCCCAGUUCGGAUUGCAGGCUGCAACCCGCCUGCA